UACGAAGGGGGCUAGCGUUGCUCGGAAUUACUGGGCUUAAAGAGUUCGUAGGCGGCGCAGAAAGUAGGGUGUGAAAGCCCUCGGCUCAACCGAGGAAGUGCGUUCGAAACUGCAGAGCUUGAGUACCGGAGAGGGUGGCGGAAUUCCCCAAGUAGAGGUGAAAUUCGUAGAUAUGGGGAGGAACACCGGUGGCGAAGGCGGCCACCUGGACGGUCACUGACGCUGAGAGCGAAAGCGUGGGUAGCAAAC
rnacentral:rRNA from 1 species